CUCCUUCUCUCCUGCAGGGAGGCAUUAUGGGUUUGUGGGUCCGUUCCCCUCCCCCGCCCCCGCACCGCUGGGAAAGGAAGUGCCGACGUGGCUUGCGGAAAUAGGCUAGGCGGAAAUGAGCUAAGGUUCCCGCGAGUGGGGAGCGAGGUCAAACCCCGUGCCACGCCCCCCCGGGCCUGUUGCGCAACUCUCGGAACUGGAAAGAAAAAAAAAAAAAGAAAAAGGAACAAUGAAGGUUUUGAGUUUUAAGCGUGUUCCCGAGGGAGCUCAUCUGUGCCACGGACCUUACCUGAAGAUCAGGCCCAGUCUCCGAUGCAGGAGCCUAGGGAGACUCUCCAGCCGCGGGGCAGCUCAAGGUGUCUCUCCAGGUAUGUAUGUGUGUGUAUGUGACAUGUGCUGAGUCUGAGGCUAUGGGUCCUCUGGAGCUGGAAUUACUGGCUGUUCUGAGACACCUGACAUGGAUGCUGGGAACCUAACUUGGGUCUUCUGAUAGAGCCUUCUCUCCAGCCACAACAGUGAAAGGUUUUUUAAAAGCAGCUCUCCAAAUGUAUUUCCCAGACAAAUCAGAAAACCCGAUGCUUCAUCUACAUGUAUGUCUAUACAUCCUGUAUGUGCCUCAUGCCCCCUGAGGCCAGAAGAGGACAUCGGAUUCCCUGAGACUGGUAAUAGAGCUGCCUUUGCUUGGCCUGUGAAUUUGGAGAGAGCAAAAGGACCUGUUGUAGAUUAAAGAGAAAAAGGAGGCAAAACCCCUGGCAUUCCACAAUGCAGAGCAAACUGUAAGGAAGAUGGACACACCAAUAGCCUUAACAACUGAGAGAAGUAAGCCUACUGCUGUUGGGCCAUAAAUCAUUGUGCAGCCUAAGACUACCACAUCGUUGUUAAGAGGUUGGAAACAUGUGUCUUUUGUCUUCCUAUCGAACAGAUUUGGAAAAUAUAUCCUUCAAAUAGAAGAUGGUUACGUAUAUCAAAAGUGUUGAAUGCUCUGCAAUAAAAGCUUCAGCUAAGAGAUUGUCUGAAAUGAAAUAUUCUUUUGUCUGAUUUCACCUAUCAACUCAAGUGUGCCCAGAACUGAGGAAGUUCCAGAGACUAGAGUCCCUCAUCCCUAACACUGGAGAAGUCCAAGAGGAGAUUUUCUGGGCCCAUUUUACAGAUAAAGAACCAAAGCCUCUGGAUUAGACAGAAAACAUGGAGUCAAAACAUUGUGUCUCUGAAGAUUAAGCAACCAGUACCAAGGCUUUCAGCUUUGCUCAUAAUUGGAGCUUGCUUUUCUCAGUGUAGCCUAGGCACCUCUGUUGUCAUGACAACUUACCUAGUGCCUAUUGCCUGGGCAAUUGAGGGAAAACUGCUUCUGUUGUCAUGACAACAACUUCCUCUUCUAUCUCCCCUUGGUGAUC